rnacentral:rRNA from 1 species
AGUGAACGCUGGCGGUAGGCCUAACACAUGCAAGUCGAACGGCAGCACAGUAAGAGCUUGCUCUUACGGGUGGCGAGUGGCGGACGGGUGAGGAAUACAUCGGAAUCUACUUUUUCGUGGGGGAUAACGUAGGGAAACUUACGCUAAUACCGCAUACGACCUACGGGUGAAAGCAGGGGAUCUUCGGACCUUGCGCGAUUGAAUGAGCCGAUGUCGGAUUAGCUAGUUGGCGGGGUAAAGGCCCACCAAGGCGACGAUCCGUAGCUGGUCUGAGAGGAUGAACAGGCAGACUGGAACUGAGACACGGGCCCGACGCCUACGGGAGGCAGCGGUGCGGAUUAGUAGACAAUGGGCGCAAGCCUGAUCCAGCCAUGUGGCGUGGAUGAAGAAGGCCUUCGGGUUGUAAAGUACUGUUGGCGGGAAGGAAGGGAGAAAAGUUAAUACCCUUCGUCACUGACGGUACCCGAAGAAGAAGCACCGGCUAACUCCGGG